UACAGAGGUCCCAAGCGUUGUUCGGAUUCACUGGGCGUAAAGGGUGCGUAGGCGGUUGGGUAAGUCUGAUGUGAAAUCUCACAGCUUAACUGUGAAACUGCAUUGGAUACUAUCCGGCUAGAGGAAUGGAGGGGAGACUGGAAUACUUGGUGUAGCAGUGAAAUGCGUAGAUAUCAAGUGGAACACCAGUGGCGAAGGCGGGUCUCUGGACAUUUCCUGACGCUGAGGCACGAAAGCCAGGGGAGCAAACGGG
rnacentral:rRNA from 1 species